rnacentral:lncRNA from 1 species
UUGCAAGCAAUUCCUAUUCCAAUAUAGAAAUUCCAAACAAACAAGCACAACAACCCCUGCAACAAGCAACAGUAAAUCAGCUGGGCUUGAUAUGGGAACAUCUACGAAAUCACAUGGAUGAAGAAGAAUCGCUAACUGACACAGAACUAAGCAGCGAACAUGGCUGACAAAUGUCGGGAGGUCUCAAUGGAAGGCAGAGAGGGUAUAGCUCGAUUUUUUCUGUCAGAUUGUACAAAGCAUUCACCUGAUCGAUAAAAAAAAUCAAUGCGGGGUCACAUCUCAUGUAUCAUCUCUAAUGGAGAAAAAAAAUAAGAGCAG